UGAGGAAUAUUGGUCAAUGGGGGCAACCCUGAACCAGCCAAGUCGCGUGAAGGAUGAAGGUCUUAUGGAUUGUAAACUUCUUUUACACGGGAAUAAAGUGGGGGACGUGUCCCCCUUUGCAUGUACCGUGUGAAUAAGGAUCGGCUAACUCCGUGCCAGCAGCCGCGGUAAUACGGAGGAUCCGAGCGUUAUCCGGAUUUAUUGGGUUUAAAGGGUGCGCAGGCGGGAUGUUAAGUCGGCGGUGAAAUUUUGCAGCUCAACUGUAAAAGUGCCUUCGAUACUGGCCUCCUUGAGUGUGGAUGAAGUAGGCGGAAUUUGUGGUGUAGCGGUGAAAUGCUUAGAUAUCACGAGGAACUCCAAUUGCGCAGGCAGCUUACUAAGCCACAACUGACGCUCAUGCACGAAGGCGUGGGGAUCAAACA
rnacentral:rRNA from 1 species